GCGUGGAUUAGGCAUGCAAGUCGAACGAGAAUCCACGGUUUCAAGUCUUCGGACAAGAAACUGUGGAGGAGAGUGGCGAAAGGGUGAGUAACGCGUGGGUAACUUGCCUUCAGGAUCGGGAUAACCUCGCGAAAGUGGGGCUAAUACCGGAUGUGGUACCCCGACGCAUGUCGGGGCUAUUAAAGGUAGGGAUCCUUCGGGACCUGCCGCCUGGAGAGAGGCCCGCGUCCCAUCAGCUUGUUGGUGAGGUAACGGCUCACCAAGGCUUACGGGUAGCUGGUCUGAGAGGAUGAUCAGCCACACUGGGACUGAGACACUGCCCAGACUCCUACGGGAGGCUGCAGUCGAGAAUCAUUUGCAAUGCGCGAAAGCGUGACAAUGCGACGCUGCGUGGGGGAUGACGGCCUUCGGGUUGUAAACUCCUGUCAUGAGGGAACAAUCGUUCGGGCGCUAAUAUCGUCCGAGCCUGAUGGUACCUCAAAAGGAAGCCACGGCUAACUCUGUGCCAGCAGCCGCGGUAAUACAGAGGUGGCAAGCGUUGUUCGGAUUUACUGGGUGUAAAGGGUGCGCAGGCGGUUCCGUGUGUCGGAUGUGAAAGCCCACUGCUCAACGGUGGAAUUGCAUUCGAAACUGCGGAUCUAGAGUGCAGGAAGGGAGACCGGAAUUCUUGGUGUAGCGGUGAAAUGCGUUGAUAUCAAGAAGAACAUCGGUGGCGAAGGCGGCUCUCUGGAAUGCUACUGACGCUCAGGCACGAAAGCUGGGGAGCGAACAGGAUUAGAUACCCUGGUAGUCCCAGCCGUAAACGUUGUGCACUUGGUGUGGGGAGUAUUGACCCUCUCCGUGCCGGAGCUAACGCGUUAAGUGCACCACCUGGGGAGUACGGCCGCAAGGCUAAAACUCAAAGAAAUUGACGGGGGCCCGCACAAGCGGAGGAGCAUGUGGCUUAAUUCGAUGCAACGCGAAGAACCUUACCAGGGCUUGACAUGCAAGUAGUACAACCUUGAAAGGGGAAGGAUCCCGUUUUCGGGAAGCUUGCACAGGUGCUGCAUGGCUGUCGUCAGUUCGUGCCGUGAGGUGUUGGGUUAAGUCCCGCAACGAACGCAACCCCUAUGGUUAGUUGCCACUCCCGUGUAUUCGGGAAGCACUCUAGCCAGACUGCCUGUACAAGCAGGAGGAAGGUGGGGACGACGUCAAGUCAGUAUGGCCCUUACGCCCUGGGCUGCACACGUGCUACAAUGGUCGGUACAGUGGGAUGCGAAGCCGCAAGGUGGAGCAAAUCCUCAAAGCCGGCCCCAGUUCGGAUUGGAGUCUGAAACCCGACUCCAUGAAGUUGGAUUCGCUAGUAAUGGCGCAUCAGCUACGGCGCCGUGAAUACGUUCCCGGGCCUUGUACACACCGCCCGUCACAUCAUGAAAGCCGUCUGCACCCGAAGU
rnacentral:rRNA from 1 species